UGUGUAAUAGAAGGGUUGGAAUGUAUGGAGCUCACAGCUGGCAAUGACACAGUUGAGAGGCUCUGGGUAAGAAUCAAGGGGCAAACAAAUAAUGGAGAUGUCAUUGUGUGUGUCUGCUACAGACCUCCUGACCAGGGCAAUGACACCAACAAAUUAUUCUUUGAGGAACUAAGGGACACUUCCAAGUCAACUGCCCUUGUCCUUAUGGGAGACAUCAACUUGCCAGAAGUUAACUGGGAGCAUCACACAGCUGGUACAACCUGGGCCAGAAGAUUCCUAAAAAACCUGGGUGAUAACUUUAUGGAACAGGUCCUAAGGGAGCUGACUCAGAAAGAUGCCCUCCUUGAUCUGCUGCAUGUCAACAGAAUGGAUCUCGUGAGCAAAGUGGAGAUUGGUGGCUGUCUUGGCCACAGCGACCAUAAAGUGAUUGAGUUUGAAAUCUCUGUUGACAGGAGGAAAAGUCUCAGCAAAACCUCGACUCUGGACAUGAGAAGAGCAGGCUUCAGCCUGCUCAGGGAAUUAAUGUAAAUUGAGCCACCGAAGCAAAGAUCUGCAGACUAACAAGACAGUAUUUGUAAUGAACAAUUCAGCUGUCCUACUAACCAGUUGUCUGGUUAAUGUACCAUUUGAAAUAAAUUGAAAUGUUUUGCAUCUGA